AUGUCGGACCUUGAAACAGGUGAAGAUCCAACUGUGGUGAAAAUGGAGGAGGACGGAGAGGCUAGCACCGAAGAGCAGACGCCGACUGUUGCAGAGGGCGGCCAGGCAGGAGAAUCCGAGGGAUCAAAGAUUGAUGCCAGCAAAAACGAAGAGGAUGAGGGGAAAAUGUUUGUUGGUGGUCUGAGCUGGGACACAACAAAGAAGGAUUUGAAGGAUUACUUCUCCAAGUUUGGGGAGGUGGUAGACUGCACCCUGAAGCUUGACCCCAUGACAGGCCGGUCCCGAGGGUUCGGCUUUGUUCUGUUUAAAGCAGCUAACAGCGUUGAUAAGGUAGUUUUACAGAAGGACCACAAGCUGAAUGGGAAGGUGAUCGACCCUAAGAAGGCCAAGGCCAUGAAGAACAAGGAGCCCAUCAGAAAGGUCUUUGUAGGAGGUCUUUCUCCAGAUACUCCAGAGGAGAAGAUCAGAGAAUAUUUUGGUGCCUUUGGAGAGGUGGAGUCCAUUGAGCUCCCCAUGGAAACCAAAACCAACAAGAGACGAGGCUUUUGCUUCAUCACCUUCAAAGAGGAGGAGAGAGUAAAGAAGAUCAUGGAGAAAAAGUACCAUAAUAUAGGAUUAAGCAAGUGUGAGAUUAAGGUGGCCAUGUCCAAGGAGCAGUACCAGCAGCAGCACUGGGGGGGAGGAGGCAGAGGGGGAUACCCCUCCAGGCCUCCCGGCAGACAGGGACCCAAUCAGAAUUGGAACCAGGGAUAUGGCAACUACUGGAACCAAGGUUACGGCAACAACUACGGCAACAACUACGGCAACUAUGGCUACAACAACCAAGGCUACGGUGGCUAUGAUUACUCUGGUUACAACAACUAUUACGGCGGAUAUGGUGACUACAGCACAGACCAGCAGGGUGGUUAUGGGAAGUCCCCCAGGCGAGGUGGUCACCAGAACAAUUACAAGCCGUAUUGAUGUAACAGAAGUACCACACCCACAGACAGGUAUGUUUUAUAAGUCACCUACAACAAACCUAGAUAAUGUGCAAUGUAUCUACCUCUGUAUAAUAAUAAUAAUAAUAAACCCUCAUAAUGUUUUUCUCUUUAUAGUUUUUCACAGCACCUGAAAAGUGCUUUACAGUAGUCUUAACAUAGAGGCUACAGUCUUUUUUUGGUGAAUUAUUUCUGCUGCCUCUUAUGAGCCAUUUUGUAACUGUAAAGUUAACAGGUAUAGUACUACUAUUACUACAGUAAAAUGGAUACCAAGAGUUAAGGAUUUACAAGGGAAAAGAGAGUGAAAGAGAGAAAAUAAUAAUGUUGUCUCCUAACUCUGACAUAUACCUUGUUUGUACCUGCCAGCGGAGCUUCCUUGCAGGCCAUGAGCUGACCUCCCCGGUACUCUCUGGCCCGCUCAAUGCGGACCGGGUACGAGAGGCGUACGCUCUCGAAUGCUGCCAUUUGGUAUGGUCUUCCAACAUCCUGUCUCAGCAUUGUAAAUAAAAACUAAGUGGGACAUGUCCGGCUUUGUCCACUUUUUUUAUUUUCAUUUGUUUAAUUUCUGUAAUGUGUUUUUUUGUAAUGUAAAACUUAAAUACAAAUUAUGUAAUUUUAAUGCCAUUUUUUACAGGCCCUUACUCCCCCGUCAAGUAAUGGUAAAUUACAACAUGAUACUGAGAAAAUAACUAUUUACUUUUCAAAGGACACGGCUUUCUCUGGACUUUCCAGUGUCUUUUUCAUUCCUAAUCAUACCUGUAAUUCUUGCUUUUCUUUAUUUAGCUCUUGUAGCAGUAAUAGCCAGUAGUCCAUGAGCUAAAACCUGGUUUGUACUUGGAUGCUACUGCGUUGGAGAAGAUGGAAGAUUGAAGGAUAUCUUGUGAAGGAGCGUUGGCAGACGAAGUGACAGGUUUCAGUCAAGAGUUUCCUUUAUUAUGGACGGCUUGAGGCAGGACACAGUCAGAGUAUUCAGUUGAUCUACGCACAUUGAAUUUAUG